UACGAAGGGGGCUAGCGUUGCUCGGAAUUACUGGGCGUAAAGGGCGCGUAGGCGGGUCGUUUAGUUAGAGGUGAAAGCCCAGGGCUCAACCCUGGAAUUGCCUUUAAUACUGGCGGCCUUGAGUAUGGCAGAGGUGUGUGGAACUCCGAGUGUAGAGGUGAAAUUCGUAGAUAUUCGGAAGAACACCAGUGGCGAAGGCGACACACUGGGCCAUUACUGACGCUGGAGGCGA
rnacentral:rRNA from 1 species